rnacentral:lncRNA from 1 species
UUAACACAAAUAUACUUCGUUUAAAAACAUAAAAUAAAUCACAUGUGCCAUGUUGCAUUUUAAUUGACCUUGAAAAACUAGAUGCCCUUUCUCAUUUCCAAAUAGCAUCAACAACACUCAAUGUUAUUCAUUUUUUGUGAUUCUCUUUUGUUUUCUUUGGUUUCAUCAUUGCUCCGGUCCACAAUCUAAAUAAUAACAAUGUUAAAACCAAAACAACAUAGAAAUUAGUACAUUAAAAACUAAAGUUGUUUCUGAAUGAGGAAAAAUGUAAUUUUAGGACAAAUUACAAAUCUUCAACUAAUGAACUCAAUAUUCCAGGAAAAAUGUAACUAGAAACAUAAUUAGGAAACAAUUUAACUUUCAUUUCCAAAAAAAUAAUUAUGAAACAAUGGAACUUUCAUUUCCAGAAAAAUAAAUUUAAUUUACAGGAAAUAAAAAAAAAUAUAUUAAAUUAAUGAACUCCAUAAAUAAGAAAGAAAUGAGAUUUACCGAAGUAAGAAACAAAAGUCCAUAUUUCAUAAAUUUGAUUUCCACUUUUCCAGAAAUAUGAAUCAUACCUUACAAAAAAUUCCAUCCCUGCUUCUCAAGUCUCCAAAGAAUCUCUCCGACAAUCAAGUCUCCAGAAAUCAAUUAAUUAGCAAGACUGCACGUAGGAAAUCAAAUUAGAUAACAUAUAAAAAUAAAUCAAAGGAAAAAGAGGAUGGGAUAUUGAUUUUUCUAUUUUUUUUUUCUUAUCUUAAAUGCUGGAGCCUAGAUAUUAAAAGCAGCCAUGAGUCUCGUCUUGAGUCUUGACGUCUUGAAUCUUAACAUCUUCUCUACUCCACCAAACCACUAUAUGUGAUGCAUCUGUAGUGAAAUCAAUCGAUGCUCAAGAAUCGAAGUGAUUCUCGUUUAUUGUGCAAGAGUGGCUGGCGUGCAUCCGUCUCUCA